UACGAGGGGGGCGAGCGUUGUCCGGAAUUAUUGGGCGUAAAGAGCUCGUAGGCGGUCUGUCGCGUCUGCUGUGAAAUCCCGAGGCUCAACCUCGGGCUUGCAGUGGGUACGGGCAGGCUAGAGUGCGGUAGGGGAGAUUGGAAUUCCUGGUGUAGCGGUGGAAUGCGCAGAUAUCAGGAGGAACACCGAUGGCGAAGGCAGAUCUCUGGGCCGUAACUGACGCUGAGGAGCGAAAGCGUGGGGAGCGAACAGG
rnacentral:rRNA from 1 species